rnacentral:rRNA from 1 species
AUUGAACGCUGGCGGCAGGCUUAACACAUGCAAGUCGAGCGAGCGGCGGACGGGUGAGUAAUGUCUGGGAAACUGCCUGAUGGAGGGGGAUAACUACUGGAAACGGUAGCUAAUACCGCAUACCAUCAGAUGUGCCCAGAUGGGAUUAGCUAGUCGGUGGGGUAAUGGCCCACCUAGGCGACGAGCCCUAGCUGGUCUGAGAGGAUGACCAGCAAAACUGGAACUGAGACACGGGACAGACUCCUACGGGGGGCAGCAGUGGGGAAUAUUGCAAAAGGGGCGAAAGCCGGAUGCAGCCAUGCCGGGUGUGUGAAGAAGGCCUUCGGGUUGUAAAGCACUUUCAGCGAGGAGGCGUUACUCGCAGAAGAAGCACCGGCUAACUCCGUGCCAGCCGCCGCGGUAUUC